rnacentral:miRNA from 1 species
AACAUCGUCUUACCAAAAAAUGCAAGCGUAAGGAGUUACGUUCUGCGCAUGCGCAGACCUAUCUUCUGAAAUACGCAUAAUUUGUUAAAAGGAUAUUAAGCAAAGUUGUAGCACUCAUCAUGACGAACAACUUUUGUUAACAUCUUCUUACCAAAAAAUGCAAGCGUAAGGAGUUAAGUUAUGCGCAUGCGCAGACCUAUCUCCUUAAAUAAGCAUAAUUUGGUAAGACGAUAUU